UACAGAGGGUGCAAGCGUUGUUCGGAAUUAUUGGGCGUAAAGCGCGUGUAGGCGGCUUUGCAAGUCGGGUGUGAAAGCCCUCGGCUCAACCGAGGAAGUGCGCCCGAAACUGCAGAGCUUGAGUACCGGAGAGGAUGGCGGAAUUCCCCAAGUAGAGGUGAAAUUUGUUGAUAUGGGGAGGAACACCGGUGGCGAAGGCGGCCAUCUGGACGGAUACUGACGCUGAGACGCGAAAGCGUGGGUAGCAAACAGGA
rnacentral:rRNA from 1 species